rnacentral:rRNA from 1 species
UACGAAGGGGGCUAGCGUUGUUCGGAAUUACUGGGCGUAAAGCGCACGUAGGCGGAUAUUUAAGUCAGGGGUGAAAUCCCAGAGCUCAACUCUGGAACUGCCUUUGAUACUGGGUAUCUCGAGUAUGGAAGAGGUGAGUGGAAUUCCGAGUGUAGAGGUGAAAUUCGUAGAUAUUCGGAGGAACACCAGUGGCGAAGGCGGCUCACUGGUCCAUUACUGACGCUGAGGUGCGAAGCGUGGGAGCAAACAGG